ACCCUCCAGAUUCCUUACUCUACAGAUCUCAAUAUUGGUCUGAGUGUCUAAAAAAGGAGGAAAACUAAAACUGAUGUGGAAUGGGAGUUUUCAGUGACAAGUUCAUUUCAAAUAUAU
rnacentral:snoRNA from 1 species